rnacentral:rRNA from 1 species
GACGAACGCUGGCGGCGUGCUUAACACAUGCAAGUCGAACGAAGAGCGAUGGAAGCUUGCUUCUAUCAAUCUUAGUGGCGCAGGGGUGAGUAACGCGGAAUCAACCUGCCCUUCAGGGGGGGACCACAGUUGGAAACGACUGCUAAUACCGCAUACGAUCUAAUCUCGGCAUAGAGGAUAGAUAGAAGGAAGCCUCUACAUGUAAGCUAUCACUGAAGGAGGUGAGUGAGUCUGAUUAGCUAGUUGGCGGGGAAACGGCCCACCAAGGCGAUGAUCAGUAGCCGGUCUGAGAGGGUGAACGGCCACAUUGGGACUGAGACACGGCCCAGACUCCUACGGGAGGCAGCAGUGGGGAAUCUUCCGCAAUGGACGAAAGUCUGACGGAGCAACGCCGCGUGAGUGAUGACGGCCUUCGGGUUGUAAAGCUCUGUUAAUCGGGAAGAAAGGCCUUCUUGCGAAUAGUGAGAAGGAUUGACGGUACCGGAAUAGAAAGCCACGGCUAACUACGUG